GGACGUCUCCAUAGCAACCUGCUGUGUUAUCACGCUUCCACUCUCGCGAACUGAGACACCGGAGGUCUGAGACGGAAGAAGAUGGGCUACACGCAUACACAAACAUUCGGACUCAUGAACUGAGGACUGAGCUAAACAUUCGCACACAUGUCCAUAACCCCCAUCCCCCCCGCCUCCACAAGCUUUCCUCACUAUACACAGGAGCCAGGAAUGCAUGCAGUAAUUUGCUGCACAGGAACCGGCUAACUGUGCGGUGUUCCCCCCUCCACCACCCCACAUCCUUAUCCCAACUAUCCUUGUCUAACGUCAUGCUUUGCCUGUUUGCGGGUUUGUUUGUUUUUUUUUAGGUUCCUUCUCAAAUUGAAUUUCCCAACAUUGGAGGUUUCAUUUGGUACAACGAGCCUUUUUUUUCCUUUUACCCUCUGCUAUCCCUACCCAGAUCCCUACAUGUCCUUUUCUUUUUUUCCUCAAGAAAGGUGCGCGCAGCACUGCGCAGCAGCCUGAGCUGUCAUUGGCAGGGCAGCUCAAAUGUAAUUUCGUUGUAUAUGAAAAUGUGCAAUGACAAAUAAAGCAUCUAUCUAUCAAGGCUGUAAAUUUCAGAGCAAUGUUUAUUCCACUUUUAAUGCACAUAGAAGUAAACAACAUCAGGUGCACUGUGAGAUAACAUUCAAACCUGAAAUUGUUGAGAAUGUACUUGAUCAGCAUCCCGCCGGUCUGGAUGUUCAACCUGAGACUAGUGUCCCUGAGGCUGAAGAUGUUGAGUCUGAGCUUACUGAGUUCAGUGAAGAUGUGGAAGACCUGGAGAAUCAGUUAAAGCAUAAUGUAGCUGCUCUUUUUCUGAAAAUGUCAUCAAUUCUUAACAUCUCUGAAUCUGCCCUGCAAGAGGUUAUAGAGCAAAUCAACCAAAUUUAUUUGCUGUCACAGCCAUUGUUACAGUCCUCAAUUCAAAGAAUACUAAACCAGCAUGAUGACUCUGUAGUGCGUGAAGUAGCUAGAGUAGUCACUGACAACAAUGCAUUCCUGAAAUUCACUUCUGCUGGGGGAUCUUUGUCAACUGCUAGCAAGCAAACAUAUAUUUUAAGGGAAUUCUCUGUGGUAAUGCCUAUUGAGUAUAUCAUAAAAAAUGAAAAGCAGACAGUAGUGUAUGUCCCCAUACUUAAAAUGCUGCAGACAUUGCUGAAUAAUGGAGAAAUCUUGGAUAAGGCCAUGCCACUGGAGUCAGGUUUGUCUCAGGGAUACAGAUCUUACAGGGAUGGUUCCCGCUUUAAAGGGAAUCCUUUCUUGACAGCGGAAGAGUUCAGGGUUGCUCUUUGCUUGUACAUAGAUGAUUUUGAGGUGGUAAAUCCCUUGGGAACCUCAAGGAAGAAACACAAGCUAUGUGCUAUCUACUGGGUUCUUGGCAAUCUGCACCCCAAAUAUCGCUCCCCUCUUCAUUCCAUUCAGCUUGCUCUGCUUUGCAAGGUCAACAACAUCAAAAACUAUGGUUAUAGGGAAAUUCUUUGCCCACUCAUUCAAGACCUUGUUUCUCUUGAGCAACAUAGUGUGUAUAUUGAACAGUUAGGAGCCAGCAUAAAAGGGACAGUACUAUUUGUUGCAGCAGACAAUUUAGCAGCCCAUUCUUUGGGAGGAUUUUUGGAAAGCUUCAGAGUUAGUCAGAUGUGCCGAUUUUGUAUGGCAAAGCGGGAGAAAAUACAACACAAGGAUGUGCGGACAGGCUCUUUCCAACCAAGGACAAAAGAAAGUCAUGACAGGCAUGUGCAAGAAGUAUUGCAGGAUUCUACCAUGGCCCAACAAUCUGGUGUGAAAGGACGCUGCCCACUUACUGAAAGCUUAGAACAUUUUCACGUUGAUGGUUAUCCACCAGACCUUUUGCAUGAUCUUCUGGAGGGCAUCGUUCCAGCUGAGAUGGCUUUGUGCUUGACAGCACUGAUAUCAAAGGGGUAUUUCUCACUUGACGCCCUAAAUGUGGCCAUUAAAACGUUUCCUUUUACAUUUUCAGACAGAACAAACCAACCUCAGCUCAUCAUAAAGAGUUUUUCUUGCAAGGGAACAAUUGGAGGAAACGGUCAUGAAUAUUGGACGCUUCUCCGACUUUUGCCGCUACUAAUUGGUCAUCACGUUCCUCAGGGGGAUGAAACCUGGGAGGUUUUAAUGAACUUAAAAGAUGUUGUGCAGUUGUCCGUUUCCUCAGCUUUUACCAUGGAGUCGGUGUACUUUCUUCAUUGCAAGAUUGCAGAACAUUAAGGUAUAUUUCAGAAAGUUCUCCCAAAUGAAAGACUACGGCCCAAGCUGUCAUGGCGAGGGGGGGUGAACCCGAGCAGAGAGCACACAGACGAGGGACUGAGGCAAGAACAAAGGUGGAUUUUAAUUUAAACAAAACAAAGGGGAGUGCUGGACGGGGUGGGGAACCUGGUGACUGGAAUAACUGAACUAAAGGUGAGGUUGGGAGAGGGGUGACUGUACCAGGAACCUGCGGCCCGGUUGGUGUUCUCCGUGGGGUGGGUCGGCGGCAGAGAGCGGGCAGGAGGGCCCCAUUCCAGGUGGGGCGACAGGCGGGGUAUUUUCCGGAGCCGAGGGGGGCACACAGCAGGCAGAGACCCUCCACAACAAGCAGGGGUUCCAGGAGCAGGCAGCAGGUCCAAGGUGAGGGAGGCAGGGGGGGAGGUCUGGUCAGGGCUGGAUCCGGAGUGCAGGAGAUGGGAGGACAGAGCAGGUGGAACCAGGCAGCUGGGUCAGCAGAGCUAGGCAAGAGAAACAGGGUUAGUCAAGGUAAAGCUUUUCAAUGGAAAAAUCUCAGCAAAGGUGCAAGGCUAGACAGCUGACUACAUGAGCAGAGUUUACUAUCUGGCAGGGUGUGGAGAGUGUGGCCGGUUUUUAUGGUGGAGAUGAUCAGCAGGUGUGCUGCAUCACAGCUGCCCGGAGUUCCACUGAUGAGUGAUUGGUGAUGAACCACAGCUGGCCAGAGCAGCUCUGCCGAGCUGCAGCAGGAAGGUGGAGAGAGGAAUAGGAGUGAGGGAGGAUGAGGGAGGUCAGGUGGGGGCUGAAGCUGGGACAGGGGAGGGAGCCCUGACACAAGCAUCACUACAUUGAGCACUACCCUCAAUUAAUUCAAAUUUUUGGACCAUUAUGUGAUGUUUGGACAAUGCGUUUUGAAGGAAAACACAAGUUUUUCAAAAAAGUUGUCCGUCAUCCUCACAACUUCAAGAACAUACCCCUUACUUUACUUUAGCUCUCAGACACCAGAAAAUGAUCGCCUUCCAGUUAGCUACCAAUUCCUUUUUCAAGCCAUCUGUUCAGGUGAAUAAAGUAAAGACUGUGAUGGUUACCUCAUUCCCUGAAAAUGUGCAGAAAUUUUUGUAUGACAAGAAUGCCCAGCAGAACACAGUUCUUACUGCAGCUUCCGUCUGCAUAGAUGGCAUCAAGUACUGUGCUGAUAUGGUCAUUUCAGUUGGAUCUUGCUCAGGGCUACCAGAUUUUAGACAAAUAGCAAAGAUUGUGGUGAUCAGUACUGACAUAGUAUUUGUUUGCAGACUUAUGACCUCAUGGUAUAAUGAGCAUCUUAGAGCCUAUGAGCUCUCUAGCAGCCAUUUGUCCACCCUGUUGGCCACACAUCCAUCUGAAUUGAAUGACAUUUUCCCUCUGUCAUUGUACAGAGUAAGAGGCCAACAGUUUGUUACACUUAAAAGGUACAUAUUAUGCUGAGUUUUGUAAACUCUCAGAUGUUAGAAUUUCACGCAAAUGUUUUCUCUUUUCUCAGGAUGAGUAACCAAAAUGGACCAAAGGUUAUUGCUGAGAGUUGUCAUCAAUGAAGAGAAUAUUACAAAGAUAACCUUAAAUGAGAGACCAGAUUCCACUGAAGAGUUAAAAGUGCAGUUGAAGAAUAAAUUGUCUUUGGAAUAUGACUUUAAACUGCAGUAUGAAGAUCCAGAUUUCAAUCAUGCCCUGUGCAACUUGACAGAAAUUGCAGAUUUGCCUCAGAGAGCUACGCUCAAAAUAAUCCCUCUUGUGACUCUAAAUUUAACAGACUUAUCCUCACUUGUCACAUUAUCUGACACUGAGUGCAGCACAGCAGACACUGAGAUCUUGUCAACUCCUGGAACAUCACCAUUGGUAAGGAGACAACAGUGGCCAGAGUUCUUUGACAUACCCAAUUUCUCAGUUGAUGUUAACUACAGACUUAGACAGGCUGAUCUAGCCUUUAUGAGAGAUAAAACACGGAUGACUCCAACACGAGAUAUGAAGCAUGACAUCCUUGAAAAGCUAGGUGAGACAAUGUACAGUUUUAAGGCUUAUCCAGAUGACAACAAUUUCAAUCUUGUGGCAAAAGCACUGAUUAGUAAGCAGCCCUGCCUUACUGAGCCAGGUGAUCAGCCAGGAUGGUAUGGCUAGAAGAACAGCCUGAAAUUUAAGAUGGCCAAUUACCGCACAAAGCUCAGGAAAUCUGGACAUGAAGAUGUAGCAAUCAAUGGUGGUAAAAGAAGUAGAGGCAACCCAACAGGAGAAGCAUCAGGCAAAAAUAUCAAACGACCAAAAAGAUGUGAAGCAAAUUAUCUCCCUAAUUUACAUGGACAUGAUGAAACAAGCCUUGAAAAUGCCAGAAAAAUUCUUGUGGAAGAAAUGAAGAAAAAACAACCAAAUGGCACCCUGAUCUCACAGCUGAUGGACCAGACAUUCCCACUGCGCAGACAAGAGAUCGUGAAAAAGGAGCCUGCUGUACAAGACAUGGUUAAUCGAUGGCCAGGACUCUUCACAGAGAGACAGGUGUUUGCUGAAUUCAAUAGGAUUGCUAACAAGAACCUCCAGGGAGACUUCUUCCAGGCUCUAGAUCAACACACCCCACGAUUCAUUGAGCUCUUCAAGUCAAAAAAAGGAACUGUUGGACAGAAACUGUCUGAGUUUAUGGAGCAGAUCAGCUGGGCGACAGCAGACAUUACUGGGCUGUGCUCACUUGUCCUGAAAGGCAUCUCCAUCUUACUCGGUGACGACUCCAGUGAGUUCUAUAGGUCAUGCUAUGAAAUGGAGAAAGAUGAAGUACAACAAUCUAUCACAGUCGGUGUGCUCACGGUUAUCUAUGAAGGCCCAGUGCAAGGUCCAAGCACUGUGCAUGUUCACACCCAUAGUCCUGCCAUAGUCCUCGAAGGGAAUAUUGUGAUGGACAACACUGACAACUUUCCUCAGGCAGUUUGCCUGGUCUUUGGCCUUAUCUAUGCCUUGCAUUUAGAUUACCUUAAAAGGAUGGCAAAUACGCUGAACUUCAUGCUUGCAGUCAUGCUAGGGUUAGGGAACAAGACCCUCUCUCCGAAACUGAUAACUCUAAAGAACAUUCUGCUGGGUUAGACCAGUAAGGGGUGAUUGGUAACCUAUUCAAACAAUAUGCAAAAAGAGGACUACUCAGUGUUUUUUGUGUCGAGUCCCUUAUGUGUUGAUUGUAUAGAACCAUUAUAUAAAACCGUUUCUAGUUUAAAAGGGUAAAUUACUCAUGACUUUUUGUUUCGGAUGAUUAAUGUUGAAUUUAAGGUCAGAACAUGUUUUUCUCCUAGAAUGGAUCUUUGUUAUCGGCUACAGCUCUUCACUUAAAGUGAGUUUUGUUCAGCUUUGCAGUGUAUGACACUGAGACUCGAUUGUUCAUUUAAAAAAAAAAAAAAUAGCAACAGAGGCUAGAAUUGUGUUUUUGUUUUUUAAAAAUGUUUGUAUGGUAUUGUUGACUUAUACAAAUGUACAAAUUUGUGUGCUUAUAAGGAGUAAUAUUUGAAAUGUGCCACAAUUGCAUGUGGUCCAGUUCUUUUUAUAAAAUUAGUGCUGCUUGAACCUUAUGUUUCUUUGUCCAAUAUUCAAGCCAAAGGUAUGUAAAAGCAAUUGUUUUGUACUCUAAAGGAGAAUUUGAGGUCUUUUUUGAGAGCAUGGCUUGGUUUUCAUUUGAAAAUAAAUGCUGCAGCCGUUGAAAAUAGUGUCAUUGUGUUGUUUUGGGUUAUUGUAGAUUGUUAUAGUUUACACAGCAUGUUUAUAGAUACAUAAUUAGGGGAAGAAAUUGUUUUGCUUAAUUUAAAUUUCAAGUAGGUUUCACUAAACAAAAUUAAAUGAUUAUAAUUAAUGUCUUUUAAGUUAAAUAAACUUAAAUAUAGUAAGCGAGCUGUGCUACUAAAUCUAAGUAUAGUUCACUUACAUAAACAAGUUAUAGUAAGUAUUGCUCACUCACAAUAAAUAAGUUACUGUAACUCUGCAAUCUUAAGUUUACUAAAUUUUUUUGAGGCAACGAGUUUGCAUACUUUUUUUCAGUAAAGCCAACUAAUUAGAUUUUACAGUGUGAGAAAAUACAAUGCAAUAUUUAUUCAACAGUCAGCCAAGGACAUAUCUGGCUUAUAAACCAGAUCAGUUUGUCUGAUUGUAUAUAAUUGGAAUGCACUUAAAGGCCUACUUACCUGCCUCUCCUGCCUCGUUUAAUAUUCGCUGUUUGUGCUGCACGUGCAGUGCUUAACAAAUUUAUUAGACCACCACCCAGUAUAAGGUGUUUGCCACCGCUGCCCUAAAUUAACAAUAUUGCUGAAUACCAAAAUAUGUUUUUUAAUGUUUCUGUAAUGGUUAAUGUGCAACAGUAUGUGUAAGCUCUUUGAUCAAAAUGAUAUCUUUAAUGGUAAAAUAUAAUUAUUGUUAUUAUUAUUGUUAUUUUUAUUAUAUUAAUUUUUGGCAUUUACUGUUCUACAAAAAAGCAGAAAAAAGUAAGAUGAGGGGAAAAGGAAUAGAUGGGAGAGCUGUCAGCUAUACAGAGAUGGAGGGCAUGACACUCACCUGUUUGAACUCUCAUAAACUAAUACAUAUGCACAGCACUUUGUUAAAACACUUAAUCAUUUUGUUCUUCAUACCAUCAUGGUCCUUUUGAUUGGUUGUCUGACAUCAAGAAGAGUAAGCCUGUGAGGGACAUACAUCAAAAAAAGAAAUGAGAGAAGGGGAUGUGCACCAGAGGAGGGUGGACCCUUGCUCUAUUACUCACUCACUAUUGACAGAAGCAACACUAGAAAACUGAGUUGGACUUGCAAGCAUUUAGCUAAAACCUGCAUCCUUUUUUUGGCAUAGGUAAUCAUUGGCAGUUACCUAUGCCAAGUUCCUUUUUCAUGCCUACUUCAUGUUAAGAUGUUAGUAUAGCAUUUACAUUAAAUCUAAUACUGUCAGGCUGGCUGCUGCCAGGCCUAGAUAGUGCUCUCCCCCUCUUUUCUCCACCUCUUUUUCCUUUUUAGGUUUGUCAGCAGUGCAGUUGCAGCGGCAGGUGUCUCUCAUUGUCAAUCAUCAUCAGCUGGUGCAGGAGCAGGUGGAGAAGUUGCCACUCAAGCUCCACUCUCGCCACAAUAUAAUCAGACGCCACUCACCUCUCAGCGCCGGAUCGUGACACAGCCAGUACAAGAAUUCUGCAUGUUACUCCUGCCACAAGUUCCAUGAUCUCGUUCUCCCGGUAACUCUGUUUGUCCUCCUUCGUUUCAGUCCCAGUUCCACCUGCUCCUGCUGCAAUUCUUCCUGGUUUCCUCGUCACCUCCAGUUUCCUACUCCGUUCAAGUGUUCUGGAAAUAUUCACCUGUGUCAUCCUCCUCCUUCCUGGUGUCCCUCCACGUUCACCUGCCGCUGCAACUCACCACCCGUCAUCCGGACUCGAGAACCACUCGUCAAAAUCCCUCAGCCACUUACAGUCAUGAGCCCAGUCCGAGCAUCUUAUUUUAUAGUCGUGAGUCAGUCCUAGAAAACUGUUUUUCUGAUUAUCUGAGUAGCAGCUCUUGAAUUUUGAUAUCGGGUCAAGUAAUAAUCUUGAGUCUUGAAUCUAGUAAGUGUAGAGUCCUGAUUUAAUUCCUAGCUUCAAGUUAGUUCUUCGUGAACUGAAGAUUUUGAAUUUGGUUCAGUUCCUGGAGAGAGUCUUGGUAAGAAUAGACUUUAAUUCAGGCCUCCUAGUUUUUGCCUCGCUUAAGUAAAACACUUUUUGUAUUUUCAUACCUUAGAUUGGUAAGCUCUCUUGGCUGGGUUAUACCCAACAUGUCAGCAUUUUUUGAGUUUUUGUAUUCAGCUGUCCCUGCCUCAAGUAGUUGACAGGAGCUUUUCAGAGGG